AUAACAUGGUUUCAUAGAAUGUUCCUCUCAGGGGGCUGAAUGCAGCUACUGCUCCAUACAGAAAAAAAUAUCUGUCCUUUGGGUGAGGGCAGAAGGAGGGUGUCUGCUUUCAUCGCAUGCUGCUUUUCAGAUGCAGGUUGGGAACCAACUGAAGGAUUUCUCCAAACAAGUGGAAUUUAGAAGAUUUCUCCCAAACCCUCCAAAGACAAGGGCUGCAUUUCCAUGGAAAUACUCACUGGAAUGUCAUGGGGAGGAAAGUCCAAACUCCUUUAAGCACAAAUGUGAAACUCUGACAGGCACAAUCAGCCCUUCCAAAUAACAAGGGACAAAGUUGGCCUUUAUAGCAAUGUACAAAUAUAUAGAAUUAUGACUUUC